rnacentral:misc_RNA from 1 species
CAGAAUUAAAACUUGGUGGGUUGUCGCUGGCCUUCGCGCAUGUGCACGCCUGUCAUUUUUGUUCUCUUUCCACCUGUGCACCCUAUAUGUAGGACCGCUCUUCUGGGGGGCGCUCUUUCGAGCGAGGGUUUGCCGCCAUGGCUUUCCCGUCUCCUCCAGCUCGACGGCUCUAUGUAUUCUUUAUCUUACCACAAUGUAUGUCGUCGAACGUAUGUGUAACCACAUGGGCGUGAGCCCUGUGAUAACAAUCUAUA